rnacentral:rRNA from 1 species
UACGGAGGGUGCGAGCGUUACUCGGAAUUACUGGGCGUAAAGCGUGCGUAGGUGGUUGUUUAAGUCUGUUGUGAAAGCCCUGGGCUCAACCUGGGAACUGCAGUGGAAACUGGAUGACUAGAGUGUGGUAGAGGGUAGCGGAAUUCCCGGUGUAGCAGUGAAAUGCGUAGAGAUCGGGAGGAACAUCCAUGGCGAAGGCAGCUACCUGGACCAACACUGACACUGAGGCACGAAAGCGUGGGGAGCAAACAGG